rnacentral:rRNA from 1 species
AAAGCGGGAGCAAUCUCGCAAGUAAAGUGGCGUACGGGUGAGUAACACGUGGGUAAUCUACCUUUUAGUGGGGAAUAACGCUGGGAAACCGGCGCUAAUACCGCAUAAGCUCGAGAGAGGAAAGCAGCAAUGCGCUGAAAGAGGAGCCCGCGGCCGAUUAGCUAGUUGGGAGGGUAAAAGCCUACCAAGGCAAAGAUCGGUAGCCGGCCUGAGAGGGCACACGGCCACACUGGCACUGAAACACGGGCCAGACUCCUACGGGAGGCAGCAGUGGGGAAUCUUGCACAAUGGGGGCAACCCUGAUGCAGCGACGCCGCGUGAGCGAUGAAGCCCUUCGGGGUGUAAAGCUCUUUCGGCAGGGACGAUAAUGACGGUACCUGCAGAAGCAGCUGCGGCUAACUACGUGCCAGCAGCCGCGGUAAUACGUAGGCAGCGAGCGUUGUUCGGAGUUACUGGGCGUAAAGGGUGUGUAGGCGGUUUUCUAAGUUUGGUGUGAAAUCUCCCGGCUCAACCGGGAGGGUGCGCCGAAAACUGGGAGACUAGAGUGCGGGAUGGGAGAGUAGAAUUCCUGGUGUAGCGGUGAAAUGCGUAGAUAUCAGGAGGAAUACCGGUGGUGUAGACGGCUCUCUGGACCGCCACUGACGCUGAGACACGAAAGCGUGGGUAGCAAACAGGAUUAGAUACCCUGGUAGUCCACGCCCUAAACGAUGCAUAUUUGGUGUAGGUCAUUCAGUUGAUCUGUGCCGGAGCUAACGCGUUAAAUAUGCCGCCUGGGGAGUACAGUCGCAAGGCUGAAACUCAAAGGAAUUGAC